rnacentral:rRNA from 1 species
UACGUAGGGUGCGAGCGUUGUCCGGCAUUAUUGGGCGUAAAGAGCUUGUAGGCGGUUUGUCGCGUCUGCUGUGAAAAUCCGGGGCUCAACCCCGGACUUGCAGUGGGUACGGGCAGACUAGAGUGUGGUAGGGGAGACUGGAAUUCCUGGUGUAGCGGUGAAAUGCGCAGAUAUCAGGAGGAACACCGAUGGCGAAGGCAGGUCUCUGGGCCACUACUGACGCUGAGAAGCGAAAGCAUGGGGAGCGAACAGG